rnacentral:lncRNA from 1 species
CAAAAAGGUGCCUUGGUUCCAGGAUCGCUGCAACAAUUUCUAGGGUCAGCAAACAUCAUCUCCUGCUAGGGAGGGUCCGGGGGCGAGAACAGUACUGGCCUCAGAAACUAGAGGCUGCUGUUGGGUCUCGAAUCUCCUCCUCCCCAAACAGCUGCAAUCUCCGAUAGGGUAAAGGAUAUUUAAAUCUCUUUGUGCUUUGCAGAGCUUGGGUUGUCCUGGUGGCUUCUUGGGUCCAAACCCACCUCGCUGUCCUUGGGAGACCUUUGGGAAAUGCAGCCUCAGGCUCGGCACUGCUGGGGGAGGCUCAAAAUGUGGCUCGUGCAUGCAGGCUCCAAAGUUGUUGGUCUUUUUCUUGGCACGGGAACGUGGAAUUUUUUCUUUUUUAAUCAGCUUUGUGGGAGUGCUAGUUUUUUUUUUUUUUUUUUUUAAGAAGCUGUUGCAAGUAGCUGGACUUAAUCUCUGUGAAGAAUAUUAUUCUCCGGGACAAUACCGAGCCGUAGGAGAGGGCUCCGCGAUUCGGUCUGGGAGCUCUGCGGCACGAGCUGCCGAUGAUUUCCAUGGCUUGAUUAACGCUCUCCAGAGCCAUUUCCAUCGGCGGCUGCGGAGGAGCCGAAGAAGAUGGAUGAUUCCCAUUACCUGGUGUAAGGACUGCGAGGCAGCCUCAGGAAACCUUUACACCCAAAGUUUACAAGAAGAACGCAAACAGUGAUCAAUAGCGAGCUGGGGCUCCGGCACCCAGAUCUGUGGGGCCAUGAGGUUGGGGCUGGGAGCUGUGGAGCAGGGGAAGGACGGAGGAGGAGCGAUGUCUUGGGUGUGAGGUGGGGUAUGGACAGAGGAGAGGAGAGUGUCAGGGGUUUUUGUUGCUCCCACAACAUGUGCCUGCUUUGUUCAGCUCUCCAGUGCGACAUCAAUGGCUUUUCUGUUCCUUCAGGGGGAAAAAAGCCGUGCAUCUCCUGCUGCUGAGCUGCCUGCACAUCUCUGUUCAGCUGCAGUGCCCUGAAGGAGGAAGGAAGGAGCACGAAAUCCCUGGGUCAGUGCAAAAAUUCCUCCCAGGAGAAUCAAGGUGGGUCUAGACUGAGAAUGAACCACAUAACCCAGCUCCCUGCUGCCCACCCUGCCUAUGGGGAGCAUGGCCCAAAGCCAGCUCUGCCCCAGGGUGCUGGGGCUUGGUGAGCCACUGCGUCGGUCCCCUCUGGGAGCGUGCCCACCAAGCGAAAAAUGCGUGCGGCACAGCCAGGGUUCAUCAGCUGCCCUGCUGGUUGAUGGGCAGCACUCCACAGAAAGUGAUCGUACACCAAGGAUGAUCUCUGCAUGCAUGGCCGCAAGGUGAUGCUGGCAACUGGCUUUGUGGACGUGGACUUCCUUACACUGAGAAGUGAAAAGUGUGUUCCCUGUGGAGGAGAGGUUAGUCUGUAAUUUUCGGCUGAGCGAGCAGGGCUGGCAGGGUGUCCACAAGACAGCAGAUACCCUAGCUUUUGCUGGCUGCAGAGGAUGGCUCCUUCAGGCUCCCAUCUUCUCCUUUGCAGCUGGUGGCUCCCACCUGCAGGAGGUGCAGCACUGGGAAGGCAGAGAUGCCGUGGUGUUAGCACCACCAGACACAGGCAAUAAUGGGAUCCACCUGCUAGCACACAGUGCUGGAGAAGUAUAAAAUGCUCCACUGUGCCUCCAGAAUGGCUGCAAUUAACAGACACUGAGCAGCCAAGGGCCAG